rnacentral:rRNA from 1 species
UGCCCUAGUAACGGCGAGUGAAGCGGCAACAGCUCAAAUUUGAAAUCUGGCUUUCGGGCCCGAGUUGUAAUUUGUAGAGGAUACUUUUGAUGCGGUGCCUUCCGAGUUCCCUGGAACGGGACGCCAUAGAGGGUGAGAGCCCCGUCUGGUUGGAUGCCAAAUCUCUGUAAAGUUCCUUCGACGAGUCGAGUAGUUUGGGAAUGCUGCUCUAAAUGGGAGGUAUAUGUCUUCUAAAGCUAAAUAUUGGCCAGAGACCGAUAGCGCACAAGUAGAGUGAUCGAAAGAUGAAAAGCACUUUGAAAAGAGAGUUAAAAAGUACGUGAAAUUGUUGAAAGGGAAGCGUUUAUGACCAGACUUGGACUUGGUUAAUCAUCUGGGGUUCUCCCCAGUGCACUUUUCCAGUUCAGGCCAGCAUCAGUUUUCGCCGGGGGAUAAAGGCUUCGGGAAUGUAGCUCUCUUCGGGGAGUGUUAUAGCCCGUUGUGUAAUACCCUGGUGGAGACUGAGGUUCGCGCUUCUGCAAGGAUGCUGGCGUAAUGGUCAUCAACGACCCGUCUUGAAACACGGACCAAGGAGUCGUCUUCGUAUGCGAGUGUUCGGGUGUCAAACCCCUACGCGUAAUGAAAGUGAACGCAGGUGAGAGCUUCGGCGCAUCAUCGACCGAUCCUGAUGUUCUCGGAUGGAUUUGAGUAAGAGCAUACGGGGCCGGACCCGAAAGAAGGUGAACUAUGCCUGUAUAGGGUGAAGCCAGAGGAAACUCUGGUGGAGGCUCGCAGCGGUUCUGACGUGCAAAUCGAUCGUCAAAUAUG